rnacentral:rRNA from 1 species
AACGUACGCUGGCGGCACGCCUAACACAUGCAAGUCGAACGAAGUAGCAAUACUUAGUGGCAGACGGGUGAGUAACAUGUAGGUAUCUGCCCUUUGGCCUGGAAUAACACGAGGAAACUUGUGCUAGUACCGGAUAAGUCUUUACGGAGAAAGCUUUAUGCACCAUUGGAUGAGCCUGCACUUGAUUAGUUUGUUGGUGGGGUAAUGGCCUACCAAGACUGUGAUCAAUAGCUGAUUUGAGAGGAUGAUCAGCCACAUUGGGACUGAGACACGGCCCAAACUCCUACGGGAGGCAGCAGUGGGGAAUCUUGCACAAUGGAGGAAACUCUGAUGCAGCGAUGCCGCGUGAGUGAAGAAGGCCCUUGGGUUGUAAAGCUCUUUCGUCGGGGAAGAAAAUGACUGUACCCGAAUAAGAAGGUCCGGCUAACUUCGUGCCAGCAGCCGCGGUAAUACGAAGGGACCUAGCGUAGUUCGGAAUUACUGGGCUUAAAGAGUUCGUAGGUGGUUGAAAAAGUUAGUGGUGAAAUCCCAGAGCUUAACUCUGGAACUGCCAUUAAAACUUUUCAGCUAGAGUAUGAUAGAGGAAAGCAGAAUUUCUAGUGUAGAGGUGAAAUUCGUAGAUAUUAGAAAGAAUACCAAUUGCGAAGGCAGCUUUCUGGAUCAUUACUGACACUGAGGAACGAAAGCAUGGGUAGCGAAGAGGAUUAGAUACCCUCGUAGUCCAUGCCGUAAACGAUGUGUGUUAGACGUUGGAAAUUUAUUUUCAGUGUCGCAGGGAAACCGAUAAACACACCGCCUGGGGAGUACGACCGCAAGGUUAAAACUCAAAUGAAUUGACGGGGACCCGCACAAGUAGUGGAGCAUGUGGUUUAAUUCGAAGAUACGCGCAGAACCUUACCAACACUUGACAUGUUCGUCGCGACUCUAAGAGAUUAGAGUUUUCGGUUCGGCCGGACGAAACACAGGUGCUGCAUGGCUGUCGUCAGCUCGUGUCGUGAGAUGUUGGGUUAAGUCCCGCAACGAGCGCAACCCUCACUUUUAGUUGCCAUCAUUAAGUUGGGCACUCUGAAAGAACUGCCAGUGAUAAGCUGGAGGAAGGUGGGGAUGACGUCAAGUCCUCAUGGCCCUUACGUGUUGGGCUACACACGUGCUACAAUGGUAUCUACAACAGGAAGCAAGACUGGGAAGUUAAGCAAAUCCCUAAAAGAUACCUCAGUUCGGAUUGCACUCUGCAACUCGAGUGCAUGAAGCUGGAAUUGCUAGUAAUCGUGGAUCAGCGUGCCACGGUGAAUGCGUUCACGGGUCU